CACACAGACCCAGCCAGCAGCAGGCCAUGUUAGCCUUUCACUGCCUUAGGGAGUCACAAGAUCAAAACUAAAAGCUGCAUCCCUCUCUCCUGCUCCUGCGGAGGGCUGGGAGACCACAGCUUCUAGCUUAGUGUGAAGUUGCUGCCUCUCCCGGCAUAGAAAAGUAACCACAGAGAACACAGACGUGGCUCCCCAGCAGAGUGGUGGAAUAAUAAUAUGAUAGCAACAUCAACAGAAGCGGGAGGGAGAGCACUGAUUAUGAUCUAGGCCUUUCAAGAAAGUCUUAACCCAAUGAGGUAGGCUUCAAUCAUUCUCUUCGCUUGAGUCACUCAAAUCUUUUGAAGGCCAGAAGGCCAGUUUUAACCACUGCUCUAUGCUGCCAUCUAGAGGUGGAGGGGAGGGAGUACACAAGCUACAUCCCCCUCGAUGGCAAUUUCUCAAUUAAGUUCUAGUGACUGUUCACGUGUAGUCAGUCCUGUUAGCUGACCAAAGCCCUCGGCAGCUGCAUACAUGAGGGGGUAGAUGCUUUUUAAUGUCAUUACUGUUUUAUUCCUUGUUUUGUCGCUUCGUCAGAUGACUGACUAGUUUUUAAACGACUGAGUUAAAAAAACAUUAAUAAACACGCGUAGACU
rnacentral:lncRNA from 1 species